rnacentral:rRNA from 1 species
CCUACGGGAGGCAGCAGUGGGGAAUAUUGCACAAUGGGCGAAACCCUGAUGCAGCGACGCCGCGUGAAUGAAGAAGUAUUUCGGUAUGUAAAGCUCUAUCAGCAGAGAAGAAGAAAGACGGUACCUGACUUAGAAGCCCCGGCUAACUACGUGCCAGCAGCCGCGGUAAUACGGAGGGGGCGAGCGUUAUCCGGAUUUACUGGGUGUAAAGGGAGCGUAGACGGCUGUGCAAGUCUGAAGUGAAAGGCCAGGGCUCAACCCUGGGACUGCUUUUGAAACUGUGGAGCUAGAGUGCUGGAGAGGUAAGUGGAAUUCCUAGUGUAGCGGUGAAAUGCUUAGAUAUUAGGAGGAACACCAGUGGCGAAGGCGGCUUACUGGACAGUAACUGACGUUGAGGCUCGAAAGCGUGGGUAGCAAACAGGAUUAGAUACCCCGGUAGUC